CCUACGGGAGGCAGCAGUGGGGAAUAUUGCACAAUGGGGGAAACCCUGAUGCAGCGACGCCGCGUGAGUGAAGAAGUAAUUCGUUACGUAAAGCUCUAUCAGCAGGGAAGAAAUACUGACCUUACGGUCAGCAGACGGUACCUGAGUAAGAAGCCCCGGCUAACUACGUGCCAGCAGCCGCGGUAAUACGUAGGGGGCAAGCGUUAUCCGGAUUUACUGGGUGUAAAGGGAGCGUAGACGGUGCGCCAAGUCUGGAGUGAAAUGCCCCAGCUUAACGGCGGAACUGCUUUGGAAACUGGCGAACUAGAGUGCGGGAGGGGUAAGCAGAAUUCCUAGUGUAGCGGUGAAAUGCGUAGAUAUUAGGAGGAACACCGGUGGCGAAGGCGGCUUACUGGACCGUAACUGACGUUGAGGCUCGAAAGCGUGGGGAGCAAACAGGAUUAGAUACCCUAGUAGUC
rnacentral:rRNA from 1 species